UGGCUGAAUGGAAAAAAGUUCAGUUUAGGGUUUAAAACCCCUAAUGCUGACUAAAGGAAAAAUUCAGUUUGGAGUUUAAAACCCAAAUGCUGAUUGCAUGGAAAAGCUCAGUUUAGGGUUUAAAAUCCUAAUGCUGGCUGAAUGGAAAAAGUUCAGUUUAGGGUUUAAAACCCUAAUGCUGAAUAAGAAAAACUUCAGUUUAGGGUUUAAAACCCUAAUGCCGAUUGCAUGAAAAAGCUCAGUUUAGGGUUUAAAACCCUAAUGUUGGCUGAAUGGAAAAGUUCAGUUUAGGGUUUAAAACCCUAAUGCUGACUAAAGGAAAAAUUCAGUUUAGGGUUUAAAACCCUAAUGUUGUUUAAAGGAAAAAUUCAGUUUAGGGUUUUAAAACCCUAAUGUUGAUCAAAGGAAGAAUUCAGUUUAGGGUUUAAAACCCUAAUGCUGAUAGCAUGGAAAAGUUUAGUUUAGGGUUUAAAACCCUAAUGCUGGCUGAAUGGAAAAAGUUCAGUUUAGGGUUUAAAACCCUAAUGUUGACUAAAGGAAAAGUUCAGUUUAGGGUUUAAAACCCUAAUGCUGACUAAAAGGAAAAAUUCAGUUUAGGGUUUAAAACCCUAAUGCUGACUGCAUGGAAAAGCUCAGUUUAGGGUUUAAAACACUAAUGCUGGCUGAAUGGAAAAAGCUCAGUUUAGGGUUUAAAACCCUAAUGCUGGCUGAAGGGAAAAAGUUCAGUUUAGGGUUUAAAACCCUAAUGCUAACUAAAGGGAAAAUUCAGUUUAGGGUUUAAAACCCUAAUGCUGAUUGCAUGGAAAAGCUCAGUUUAGGGUUUAAAACCCUAAUGCUGGCUGAAUGGAAAAAAGUUCAGUUUAGGGUUUAAAACCCUAAUGCUAACUAAAGGGAAAAUUCAGUUUAGGGUUUAAAACCCUAAUGCUGAUUGCAUUGAAAAGCUCAGUUUAGGGUUUAAAACCCUAAUGCUGGCUGAAUGGAAAAAAGUUCAGUUUAGGGUUUAAAACCCUAAUGCUGACUAAAGGAAAAAUUCAGUUUAGGGUUUAAAACCCUAAUGCUGAUUGCAUGGAAAAGCUCAGUUUAGGGUUUAAAACCCUAAUGCUGGCUGAAAGGAAAAAAGUUCAGUUUAGGGUUUAAAACCCUAAUGCUGACUAAAGGAAAAAUUCAGUUCAGGGUUUAAAACCCUGAUGCUGAUCAAAGGAAAAAGUUCAGUUCAGGGUUUAAAACCCUAAUGCUGAUUAAAAGGAAAAAUUCAGUUUAGGGUUUAAAACCCUAAUGCUGACUGCAUGGAAAAGCUCAGUUUAGGGUUUAAAACCCUAAUGCUGGCUGAAUGGAAAGAGUUCAGUUUAGGGUUUAAAACCCUAAUGUUGACUAAAUAGAAAAGCUCAGUUUAGAGUUUAAAACCCUAAUGCUGGCUGAACGGAAAAAACUCAGUUUAUGGUUUAAAACUCUAAUGCUAGCUGAAUGGAAAAAAGUUCAGUUUAGGGUUUAAAACCCUAAUGCUGACUAAAGGAAAAAUUCAGUUUAGGGUUUAAAACCCUAAUGCUGACUAAAUGGAAAAGCUCAGUUUAAGGUUUAAAACCCUAAUGCUGGCUGAAUGGAAAAAGUUCAGUUUAGGGUUUAAAACCCUAAUGCUGACUAAAGGAAAAGUUUAGUUUAGGGUUUAAAACCCUAAUGCUGACUAAAAGGAAAAAUUCAGUUUAGGGUUUAAAACCCUAAUGCUGACUGCAUGGAAAAUUCAGUUUAGGGUUUAAAACCCUAAUGCUGAUUGCAUGGAAAAGCUCAGUUUAGGGUUUAAAACCCUAAUGCUGAUUGCAU
rnacentral:lncRNA from 1 species